CCCUUAGAUGUUCUGGGCCGCACGCGCGCUACACUGACUGGUUCAUCGAGUAUACAACCUUGACUGAUAGGUCUGGGUAAUCUUCUCAAAGCCAGUCGUGCUGGGGAUAGAUUAUUGUAAUUUUUAAUCUUCAACGAGGAAUUCCUAGUAAACGCGAGUCAUCAACUCGCAUUGAUUACGUCCCUGCCCUUUGUACACACCGCCCGUCGCUACUACCGAUUGAACGGUUUAGUGAGGGCCUCGGAUUGGUCUCGGCCCGCUCUUUACCGGGCGGCGCCGUUGGUCGAGAAGACGCUCGAACUUGAUCGUUUAGAGGAAGUAAAAGUCGUAACA
rnacentral:rRNA from 1 species